GAUUUCUGGUUUGAUGUACCUGUCCCGCCUCGGUAACGGGGUCGAGUGACGGAGUAUGUCUGCCAUCCUUCUAGAGAAUAUAAACUAUCCUUUACUGGACUGGUUUAUAUCAUCUAGAUCUUUUACUUUGAAAAAAUUAGAGUGUUUCAAGCAGGCGUUUUGCUAUGAAUACAUUAGCAUGGAAUAAUAAUAUAGGACUUUGAUUCUAUUUUGUUGGUUUCUAGGAUUGAAGUAAUGAUUGAUAGGGAUAGUUGGGGGUGCUAGUAUUCCGCGGCCAGAGGUGAAAUUCUUGGAUUCGCGGAAGACUAACUACUGCGAAAGCAUU
rnacentral:rRNA from 1 species